AUGAAAUCUCAAGUUGUGAUAUUCGUUUGCUCCGUACUGAUGGAUCUCAUGCUGAUGUCGGAAGCAUCGAGGCUGCCCCUAGAUCAGUCACCUGUUCAACCUGCGCAACCUCUGCAACCUUUGCCUGUGCAUACGGGCCCGGACCCCAUCUCCAGCAGAGCUGCCGAUCUCAACACUGCUCCUACGACUAACAGUGAGUCCUUUUCUCUUUCGAAGGGUCUCGGGAACAUAAGACGACACCUGUUUGAGAGGUAUUCUUCGAGCACCUUCGGCGGGUUAUUCCCGCAGCCGUACUGGAACAACAGGAACAACUACAACUCAUGGCCCUACCCGUACACCCCUGGUUUCCAGCCGAACCCCGGUUACAACCCUGCUAACCCGUACGACGCUCAGCCAUACAACCCGUACUACCCAUACAACUACUUCGGAAGUUCUUACGGCAACGGCGGCAAUUACGGAUCCUCUGCUCCCAUAGGUGCUAUAGGCUCUGCUAAACCGGGCACAUCCAAAAUUUCCAAGACAUAAAACGUCGAAAGACGCGAAUUUCUUGUAAAAUAACGUAAACCGGUAAAAUGUGUAAAUAAAUUAUUCUAAUUUUGUAAUAAUUGUGACCUUCUCAUUUGUCAAACAAGAAUCAUUUCGACGGAGAAACCACCAGACCACGUAUCUCGUUUGCGGUGUUUAAAAAUCUCCGCUCCCAUUUUAUUUUCUUUGAGGGAAAACAAAUCAAUAUCAUUCCUUGAAGUUUUCACAAAAUAUUUUGCUGAGACAGGAAAAAUCAAGGACGUUUUCAAAAAGUGACGUUGAGUAGUUUUUCAUUAUAAUAUAACAACAAGUCUGCAAC
rnacentral:lncRNA from 1 species